rnacentral:rRNA from 1 species
GGAUCCGUCACUUCGCUUGCUCGGAUAGUGUGCAAAGUGGCGCACGGGGGCGUAACGCGUGACCAACCUACCUCUAUCACGGGGAUAGCCUCUCGAAAGAAACAUUAACACCGCAUAAUAUAAAUGAUUGGCAUCGCUUGCCUAUUAAAUAUUUAUAGGAUAGAGAUGGGCUCGCGUGACAUUAGGGGUAACGGUAGGGUAACGGCUUACCAAGGCGCUGAUGUCUAGGGGCUCUCAGACGAGAAUCCCCCACACUGGUACUGAGACUCCUACCAGACUCCUACGGGAGGCAUUUUUAACGAAUAUUGGUCAAUGGGCGGAACCCUGAACCGUGCGUGCCGCGUGCCUGAUGACUGCCCUAUGGGUUGUAAACUGCUUUUGUCCCGGAAUAAACCUCUUUACGAAUAUAGAGCUGACUGUACUGGAAGAAUAAGGAUCGGCUAACUCCGUGCCCGCAGCCGCGGUAAUACUGAGGAUCCUAGCGUUAUUCGGAUUUAUUGGGUUUAGAGGGUGCGUAUGCGGCCUAUUAAUUCAAGGGUGAAAUACUGUGGCUCAGCCAUCGCAUUGCCUUUGAUACUGAUGGGCUUGAAUCCAUUUGAAGUAAUUCGGAAUAGUACAAGUAACGGUGAAAUGCAUAGAUAUGUCUUAGAACUCCGAUUGCGAACGCAUCUCACUACACUGGUAUUGACGCUGAUGCACGAAAGCGUGGAGAUCGAUUCAGAUAUUAUAUACCCUGGUACUCCUACACCAUAUACGAUGAU